GGGGUUCAUUUGAUGAGAGAGAGAUAGAAAGAAAAUGGCCAGGUGCUCAAAGAUGUAAAAAUAUAAAUGAUGGGUGACAGAGGUAUGGAUCAAGGGAUAAAGAUGCAUGAAUGUGUCCCAAUUUAGGCACAAAGCUGUGAUGAGUAGUGGCCCCUCGUGUGCACUCCUUGUAUUUGGGCAAUAAGUGUGAUUUUUUUUAGUGGACACCCGCCCCAUCUCCAAUUGCAAGUUUUGGGCAAGGAAAACACCGUGCUCUUUGUCCUAACUAAAAAAAAAAACGAAGCCAUCUGAUUAGACCUUUGUUCGGAAUUGAGGAACAUUUUUAUUUCGGCCUAUUUAUUUGUUUAUUUUCUCUGUCAAUUAUUUUCUUGACGAAAUUGCCCCGUUAUGCUUCCAAAUUUGUAACCCGCCCCAACUGCACAGGCAAGAGGGUUCCAUGACACGCUUAUAAAAUACACAAUUGAAAUUAUAAAGAAAUGAAAUAAUGAACAAAUCAUUACAGGGAUUAUGCAUGGUUGUCAAUCGGUGUUCAUGGUUUGGGGAUGACUGACACAAAAUUGUUCUCUGUGAAGAAGUUUUUUUUUAGUUUAAAGGGGUGGCUUUAGGAACUCAUAUUUUUAUGGGGUAGACAUGGUGUAAAGGGCAAAAUUUACAAAAACUGCGAGCGAGCAAACAUUUUGAAUUUUUUAUACAAAGUAUAAUUUUGUGAUUGAUGUUGAUAUGGUAUUUUAUAACAUAUAUCAUAUUUCACUCUUUCUUUUCCUUUCUUUUUUUCAGACCAAAUUUUUCAUGAUAAUGAUACCUUUCUUUUUCCAACAAGACUACUAUAUGAGAACUAGAUUAAUGAUGCAGGCGCGAAUUAAGCUCGAGCUGAGAUUUUCGAAAAGAAUGGGAUGACCUCUUAUAUAUCCAUUUUGAUGACUUUUUGAUAUUUCCCUUUUCUUUCCUCUUUUAAAUUACAAUUCGCAUUUCUUUUGUAUGUUCUCUAGGCCUAGUGCCUAUUUUAGACCAUGAACCUGAAAAAAGAAAAUUAACAAAAAUGAGGCGAUAUUAAAAAGGAUGGUGAAAUAAACGAGGCAAGCCCCAUAUGCACUUGGUUGGGGGAAGGGUAAAUUAAACUAGAAUUAUCGAUAAAGGUGAUUAAUACCCCUGCCCUGUGCCUUUACUAUAGCAACAGUUUCCAACACGUGGAAAAAAUGUCUUGCCCAUCUUUACCCAAGACCUACAUGUAUGUGUGAGCAAGUCAUGAUAAUUACUGAUGAAGUAGUUUGAACCGCAAGAUUUAUGCCUAAUUUUUGACAUAAUAUAUAGUGUUACCAUGGCAACACGAUUUUCGACACAUGCAAAAAAUAUGUCCUGUACAUCUUUACCUCGAGACCAAUGUGUGAGCCAAUUUUCAUGAGAAUCGGUUGGAAACUAAUCAAGUAGUUGGAACCAAUAGAUUUUUACCUAAUUUUGGGCCUGUAAUAUGUUGUAACCAUGGCAACACGAUUUCCGACACACACAAAAAAUGUCUCUUUCACACGUUUACCUCUAACUCAACAUGCUCAAAGUGUGAACCAAAUUUUACGAGAAUUGGUUGAAAAUCGAUGAAGUAAUUAAAAGCCUGAUUUUUUAAAACAAUUUUUUGUCAUAUCAUAUGCCGUUACCAUGGCAACAUGAUUUCUGACACACAAAAUAGGUUUUGGAGCUAGGGGAAGCCCGGGGGGGGGGGGGGGGGGACAAUCCAAAUUCCAACACCAACGCCAACACCGGACUUGAAAUCAUCCAAUGUGUGUACCAAAUUUCUGAAUCUGAAUUUAGCACAUAAGGGGCGAUUCUAGACUGAAAGUCAAAGUUAUUAUCAUUAUUUUGGGAGGGAAGGGUGGUGGUGCUUGAAAAAUAUGCGACGUUGAAAUAAAUUAGGAUAUUAUUAUAAGGAAAAUGUAUAAUCCUCAAUUAAGCAAGCACAUUAACUAUUAUGCUUAGGCCUAGCUUUGCUUAUAAAAAUAAGGGAAAUAUUUACGAUUAUUAUUUUUUUAAAUAUUGUAAGAAUACAUCAUAGGCUAAUCCAAUGACACAAAAAUUAUUUCGCAGGCCCAAGUAAAACUCAAAAUAUAAUCAAAUUACAAAGGGCAUAAUUAUACAAAAAUAAUCGUAAAAUUUCCCUUAAGUCACUUAUUGCGGAAAGCCGCCGUUUAUGUCUUGAUUUUAAUCACGACAUAAAUUUAUGUCAUUCAAAUGGAUUUAUGUCAUGAUUUUAUGUCGUGAUUUAAGACAUAAAGCUUUAUGCAACGGAUUUAUGUCAAUAUUUGUGUUUAUGUGAUGAUUUAUGCUAUAUGACAUAAAUCGUGACAUAAAUCAUGACAUAAAUCAAUACAUAAACUUUUAUGCAACAGGGCCCUGUUGCAAAAAAAUUUAUGUCAUUAUGACAUAAAUUUCGAUCAUGACAUAAAAUCAUGCAUAGCUUAUGCCGUUGACAUAAAUUCCGUUGCAUAAAAAUAUUUACGUAUUGUUUUAGCUUAUGACGCGAUUUAAUCAUCAUUACAUAAACUGAAUAGUCAUGAACGAGCCUGUUGACAUAAACUUGGCAUAAGUUGUCAUUUUUCAGCCGCAGCAAGUUCUUGCGAAAAAGGGUCAUCGGCUUCCCAUUUUGACGGGAUAGAGGCAUAUUUUGUUGAACCACACAAACGGUGAGAAGAGGUAGAAAUAAAGAAGGGGAUUGCAACUGGAAGGAGAUGGAAGUCCAGACACUCUGCCACUGUGUGCCAUUGAACAAGAAAUCUCUUUUAGUAUGAAGAUUGUUCAAGAGUCAAGACUGUUGAAGACGUGACAUCAUGGACCUAAUUGCACAUGGCAAGGGAACUAUCUGGCUGUACCCUGAAGUAUUCUCUUUAAGAUUUGAAAAUUAACAAAAGUACUAAUUUUCAUUUUUUUCAGAGAUAAUAAUCAUUAUAUUGACAUUGUGGAUAUCUUUUUAUGAUUGUUAUCAUACAAUUAUUAUAAUGUUAAUGAUGAUAGGUCAUAAUUAUACAAAUGAAUUAUAAGUAGAAAAGAAGACAACCAAAAAGGAGGAGGAAAAGAAGAAGAUGAAGAAGAGGAGGGUGGAAGAGGAGAAAAGGAGAAGAAGAAUAAAUAACAUCACUGUGAGUUCCCCUUCAUGAUAUUACAUAAAUAUUUGUCUCUUUUAAAUGAAAAUAUUUAUUAAGCAUAAAAAUAGGAUUUAGUUAUUCUUGUUUUUUAAGAUGUAUUAUUAUGUAUCAUGUUUGUAGUUGUACACUUGAUUGAGGUACAUGUAUUGUAUUCAUUUAGGAUAUAAAUAAUAUGUUUUAUUUGAAUCCAUGUACCUCUUUAAAGGUCAAAUCCACCCCAACAAAAAGUUGAUUUGAAUAAAAAGAGAAAAAUCCAACAAGCAUAACACUGAAAAUUUCAUCAAAAUCGGAUGUAAAAUAAGAAAGUAAUGACAUUUUAAAGUUUUGCUUAAUUUCACAAAACAGUUAUAUGCACAUUCUGGUGGGUAUGCAAAUGAGGUGACUGAUGACGUCAUCCACUCACUAUUUCUUUGGUAUUUUAUAAUAUGAAAUAUGGAAUAUUCAAUUUUUCUCCUCAUUGUCAAGUGAAAGAACGAUUAAUUCCUCCCUGAACAUAUGGAAUGAGCAUUGUUUAAUACUAUAUGAUCAGUCAAGUUGUUCCUUAUUGUCAAAUCUAAAAAAAAAAAUAUAUAUAUAGUAUAAUUCAAACAAUGAAAAACAAAAGAAAUAGUGAGUGAGGGACAUCAUCGACUGUCUCGUUUGAGUUGUGCAUACAAUGUUUUGUGAAAAAUAAGCAAAACUUUAAAAUGUCAUAACUUUCAUAUUUUACAUCCGAUUUUGAUGAAAUUUUCAGCGUUUUGCUAGUAUGAUUUUUCUCUUUUUAUUCAAAUCAACAUUUUCUGGGGUGGAUUUGACCUUUAAAUCAUAUUUAUACAGUCAUGAUUAAAGGACAUGGGACAGGUAACAAGAUUACAUUGUUUUACAAAUUUUAGUGUGAAUUUAUUUUAAAAGUAAUAAAUUUACAUAAAAUGUCAUUCUUUUUGCUUCAUCUCUUUGUUCGUUUUUUUUAUUG